GACGAACGCUGGCGGCGUGCUUAACACAUGCAAGUCGAACGGAAAGGCCCUGCUUUUGUGGGGUGCUCGAGAGGCGAACGGGUGAGUAACACGUGAGUAACCUGCCCCUGACUUUGGGAUAACUUCAGGAAACUGGUGCUAAUACCGGAUAGGAGCUCCUGCGGCAUGGUGGGGGUUGGAAAGUUUCGGCGGUUGGGGAUGGACUCGCGGCUUAUCAGCUUGUUGGUGGGGUAGUGGCAUACCAAGGCCUUGACGGGUAGCCGGCCUGAGAGGGUGACCGGCCACAUUGGGACUGAGAGACGGCCCAGACUCCUACGGGAGGCAGCAGUGGGGAAUAUUGCACAAUGGGCGGAAGCCUGAUGCAGCGACGCCGCGUGCGGGAUGACGGCCUUCGGGUUGUAAACCGCUUUCGGCUGUGACGAAGCGUGAGUGACGGUAAUGGGUAAAGAAGCACCGGCUAACUACGUG
rnacentral:rRNA from 1 species